rnacentral:rRNA from 1 species
GACGAACGCUGGCGGCGUGCUUAACACAUGCAAGUCGAACGGAAAGGCCCUGCUUUUGUGGGGUGCUCGAGUGGCGAACGGGUGAGUAACACGUGAGUAACCUGCCCUUGACUUUGGGAUAACUUCAGGAAACUGGGGCUAAUACCGGAUAGGAGCUCCUGCUGCAUGGUGGGGGUUGGAAAGUUUCGGCGGUUGGGGAUGGACUCGCGGCUUAUCAGCUUGUUGGUGGGGUAGUGGCUUACCAAGGCUUUGACGGGUAGCCGGCCUGAGAGGGUGACCGGCCACAUUGGGACUGGGAUACGGCCCAGACUCCUACGGGAGGCAGCAGUGGGGAAUAUUGCACAAUGGGCGGAAGCCUGAUGCAGCAACGCCGCGUGCGGGAUGACGGCCUUCGGGUUGUAAACCGCUUUCGCCUGUGACGAAGCGUGGGUGACGGUAAUGGGUAAAGAAGCACCGGCUAACUACGU